CCUACGGGUGGCAGCAGUGAGGAAUAUUGGUCAAUGGCCGAGAGGCUGAACCAGCCAAGUCGCGUGAGGGAAGAAUGUCCUAUGGAUUGUAAACCUCUUUUGUCAGGGAGCAAAGUCACCCACGUGUGGGUGUUGGAGAGUACCUGAAGAAAAAGCAUCGGCUAACUCCGUGCCAGCAGCCGCGGUAAUACGGAGGAUGCGAGCGUUAUCCGGAUUUAUUGGGUUUAAAGGGUGCGUAGGCGGGUUAUCAAGUCAGCGGUAAAAUCGUGGAGCUCAACUCCAUCCAGCCGUUGAAACUGAUGAUCUUGAGUGGGUGAGAAGUAUGCGGAAUGCGUGGUGUAGCGGUGAAAUGCAUAGAUAUCACGCAGAACUCCGAUUGCGAAGGCAGGUGUCCGGGGUGCAACUGACGCUGAGGCUCGAAAGUGCGGGUAUCAAACAGGAUUAGAUACCCUUGUAGUC
rnacentral:rRNA from 1 species